UGGCAGAAGAAGGUCUGGAUAUGAAAGAAUGUAACGUUGUUAUCCAUUAUGGUCUCCUCACCAGUGAAGUAGCCAUGGUCAAGUGUUUUGCAUGAUUUCUAUACCUGAGCUACUUAGGUUUUGCCAUGAAGAAAGCAAAAACAAGGUCAGAAGAACCAGACUCAGAAAAGUUAAAUGGCUUCUACAGGCGAUACAGCAAGUGAUGGAAAAAGAGUGAGAACUCAGGUAUCUUUGACCCCAAGAUUUCUGAUAUUUCCACCUCACUCAACUGCCUAUAUCAAGAGGUGGCACAGAUCAAAUCCAUUUCCUACCAAUAGAAAGGGGCAGUCAUGGGCAUUAGUGAUAUUUGAAGGGAAGCAGAAAUUGAAGAUUCACAGGGGGAUGUGCCGGUGGUUUCCACAUGACCACUAGAGGGCACCAGCGCCACACUGACCCACCCGUCCCGUUCUUGCACGUGAGAAAGGGUCUUUCCAAGCGGGCUUUGAGAGUGAAUGUUUGCGUUGUGGGCUUGUCCCCUGCACGCUGAGAGCUUGCUUUCUCCUGCCUUUAUUUCUUUGUUCCAGUUCUAGUUCACUGCCCAUCCCACAGUAGAUGUAAGAAUAAGACUUGCUUGGGAGGCCGAGACGGGCGGAUCACGAGGUCAGGAGAU